rnacentral:rRNA from 1 species
UACGUAGGGGGCAAGCGUUGUCCGGAAUCAUUGGGCGUAAAGAGCGCGUAGGCGGCCCAGUAAGUCCGCUCUGAAAGUCAGGGGCUCAACCCCUGGAUGCGGGUGGAUACUGCUGGGCUAGAGUCCGGAAGAGGUGAGUGGAAUUCCUGGUGUAGCGGUGAUAUGCGUAGAUAUCGGGAGGAACACCUGUGGCGAAGGCGGCUUUCUGGGCCUUACCUGACGCUGAGACGCGAAAGCGUGGGGAGCGAACCGG